rnacentral:rRNA from 1 species
GACGAACGCUGGCGGCGUGCUUAACACAUGCAAGUCGAACGGAGAACCCCUUCGGUGGGGGUCUGCGGCGGACGGGAGCGUAACACGAGGGCAACCUUCCCCUGCCCUUGGGAUAAGUCUAAGUUCAGGGGGCUAAUACUGGUAGCGCAUCGCUUCUCCUGCGGCAGGGUGUGGAAUGGGUUUUUGUGGCGGGUGGGGAUGGCCCCGCGGCUUAUCAGCUUGUUGGUGGGGUAGUGGCUUACCAAGGCUGGGACGGGUAGCCGGCCUGAGAGGGUGACCGGCCACACUGGGACUGAGACACGGCCCAGACUCCUACGGGAGGCAGCAGUGGGGAAUAUUGCACAAUGGGCGGAAGCCUGACGCAGCAACGCCGCGUGGGGGAUGACGGCCUUCGGGUUGUAAACCGCUUUCGGCAGGGACGAAGCGUGAGUGACGGUAACUGGAAAAGAAGCACCGGCUAACUACGUG